rnacentral:rRNA from 1 species
GAUGAACGCUGGCGGCGUGCCUAAUACAUGCAAGUCGAGCGAACGGACGAGAAGCUUGCUUUUCUGAUGUUAGCGGCGGACGUGUGAGUAACACGUGGAUAACCUACCUAUAAGACUGGUAUAACUUCGGGAAACCGGAGCUAAUACCGGAUAAUAUUUUGAUCCGCAUGGUUCAAUAGUGAAAGACGGUCUUGCUGUCACUUAUAGAUGGAUCCGCGCUGCAUGAGCUAGUUGGUAAGGUAACGGCUUACCAAGGCGACGAUGCGUAGCCGACCUGAGAGGGUGGUCGGCGGCACUGGAGGGGAGACACGGUCCAGGGUCCUACGGGAGGCAGCAGUAGGGUAUCGUCCGCAGUGGGCGAAAGCAUGACGGAGCAACGCCACGUGAGUGAUGAAGGUCUUCGGAUCGUAAAGCUCUGUUAUUAGGGAAGAACAUAUGUGUAAGUAACUGUGCACAGCUUGACGGUACCUAGUCAGAAAGCAACGGCUAACUACGUG